rnacentral:snoRNA from 1 species
UCUCACCAAAUUCCUUACCCAUCAGAUCUAAACACUGGUCUGAGUAGUUAUAAAAAGGGGAAAGUAACACUGAAACUAAUUUCAAUAUUUUUGUGACAUAUAAAC